rnacentral:rRNA from 1 species
AUUGAACGCUGGCGGCAGGCCUACCACAUGCAAGUCGAACGAGUGGCGGACGGGUGAGUAAUGGCUGGGAAACUGACUGAUGGAGGGGGAUAACUACUGGAAACGGUAGCUAAUACCGCAUACCCUCGGAUGUGCCCAGAUGGGAUUAGCUAGUAGGUGGGGUAAAGGCUCACCUAGGAGACGAUCCCUAGCUGGUCUGAGAGGAUGACCAGACACACUGGAACGUAGACACGGCCCCGACUCCUACGGGAGGCAGCAGUGGGGAAUAUUGCACAAUGGGCGCAAGCCGGAUGCAGCCAUGCCGCGUGUAUGAAGAAGGCCUUCGGGUUGUAAAGUACUUUCAUCGGGGAGGCGUUACCCGCAGAAGAAGCACCGGCUAACUCCGUGCCAGCAGCCGCGGUAAUUC